GAGACACGGUUUCUGCCCGGUGCUGCUUUCUAAGUUAAUACAUUUUCACAUGUUCAUUUCUAUCAAAGUCAUACACAUGCACCAUUUAAAGCUCAGGUAAUUCUACCAGGCUUUCAGGAAAAGCAGUAUGUCACCCAGUGGGCUGGCCACCGGCACGUCGAUGAUGGCCUGGUCCAGGGUCUGCCUCUGUAUCCCUGCACCGUGCGUUCUCCUUGAUGGGUUUUAAGGAUUCCGUUCAGAUGUCUCUCCACGGAAGGCCCUCCUCCCUCACUGCAUGCACCCUCAGGACCGAGUUCUCAAAUAAGCCACAUGUGCUGUGCUUGCAGUGUGACUGUGCAAAUGCCGGCAGCUAAGCCACUCUCCGGCCAUCACAGAGUCCACACUGGUGGAGUCCACUGCCUCUGUAGGCUCCUGUCUGGGCACCAAGCUUGCCUCGCCCUGUGCUUACUAGGUGACUGGGUCCAGAACUGCCCUGCGUCUCUCUGCAUAGGCUGCGGCACCAAGGCCGGGAGGCUGCUGCCCGCUGGCUCGAGAGCUCAGCUGAGCUGAGACUUCUGUGUGAGAAGCCCUCAGCGCCAGCCGAUUCCUGCGCCGCUGAGGCUCUGAGCGCUGUCCCUGCCGGCCGGGGGUCUGUCAUCCAGCCACUCCACAAGUCUGACGACACCGCUCCCACUCCCUUCUGACGCAGAACAGGUGUUCAUAUCUUCAGAUUUAUCUUCGGAACCUCCUGCCACACUCCUCACUGAUGGGAGCGCUGUGUGGGUCCUGCAGGCCUCUCCCUCUUCUGGCACAGAGCUGCAGGAUGCCAGGGCCCCGGGCCUGGAGGGCAGGCCUGACUUGCCGAGUUCUUUCCAAGCUUUGGUAUCAAGUCUUCAACUGGCUGAACAGCAAGAUGCGAUGUGGUCAGCUUUGUGAUCUCUGGAGGGAUCCGUGUAAGACUGUUCACAACGGGCAAUCGCUACCUCAGCGCCUCCUUAUGACCUGUGCUUGGCUGGUGACCUCACCGCCCCUCCCUCUUUCAUGUGUCGGCUGGGACCCGCACAGCAGAUGAGAGCUUUUUCCUACUCCCUGGAGCAUCGCUGUAGACUCCCGGAUUUUUAAGAAUUCAAGGCGUUAAGCUCUGCUAACAUCACCGUCUCUCUUCUCAGGCCGCCUCCAAGAGGGGCUGUUCCUUGUAGCAGGCGUGGUAUUCAGAGACAAAGGUCUGUUUGCUAGUAUGCUUGCUGUGGGGUGUGGUCGUGUCCAGGUCCUUUCAAAGCACAGAACUAGGAAAUUUUUUAAAUUUAUUAAUUCAA